AGCAGAAUUAAAUUUCGGGGGAGUCGCGCGAGAGGAGAGGGAGGGAGGGAAAGGGGGAGUAGGUGAGUCGCGCACAAUGUACCGAGGGAUCAAUGCGGCGGGGAUAAGUGUCCCAGGCAAUUUUGCCAGCCUCAUGGGCUGAGGCUUGGGAGGCCACGGGCAUGCAGAUCAGCGGAUUAGGUGGGGGGGAGCACAGCGCCAGGUCAAGUGUCUCACGGGGAGCUGAUAAACACCCCAAACCUGAGAACAGAUUUUCCUUUCUUCCACGCCACUUGGGCUUGCAAAUCCAAUGUGAAGUUUUUGAAGAUCCACUACUAAAAUGCUUGAACAGAAAAAGGCCUCCAGGAAUUGGGAUGUCAUCUACCUCUAAAUUAGAAGUCUUGGAGACUCUGGAGCCGGAGGCUGGAAUGAAAACCUGCUAGCUCAGAGAGGCAGAGAAAGCAACUGGGUGACCUUCCUCCUCCACUGUCAUCCCAGAAAGAGAGCUUCUACUUCAUCUGAAACAAAAACAAACAAAAAGUCCUCCAACCGGAUGUCCCUCCCUUCUACUUCCUGUGUGUGUCUCUCAAGCCUCCUGACUUCCUCUCACUCUCUAUGGUUACUUACAGUCAAUUGGUUGCUUGCUCUGCCUCUUGACCUAUGGUUGAUUUUAUUUAAAGAAUACAAUCUCGUAGUUCACAGUGUGAUCAAAUAUCCUGCAACAGAAAUUUCAUUGGGUUUAUGGUUCUGGAGAGUUAGAGCGCUGGUAGGUUGUCCAUGUUACAGUGGACAACCCUAUUCUCAUGUGUAUGUGGGCAACACUAUCAGGACUCAGUAGUCAUAUACGUGUUUGUGUGUGUGUGUGUGUGUGUGUGUGUGUAUGGAGGGUGUGUGUAAAGAAAAUGGGAAGAGGGUGUGGAAGGAGUGAGGGGUGGAUUUUACCAAAAUAAAACAUACUUACGUAUGAAGGAAAAGGUUAAUUAGAAGGAGGAGACGUGCCAUAAACAAUUGCUUGCAGUUCUGACACCACCUCCCCACACCCCCUUUACAAGGCCGCUCAAGUAGCCUUGUAGCCAACAGAUCCUGUUGUAGCUUAGGCGUCCCUUUGUGAGUGUACACAGUGCGUCUACUUAACCCAGGGAAACAAAGAAACACCAUCUUUCAAAAUACUGGCUUAAAGAAAAUGCAUGUCUUUUUUAAAUAAAAUAAAUCUUUCUACUUAAAUAGUAUAAAAUAUAUGACUAUGGGCAAGAAUCAAACAUAUUCUUUUCAAGAGUGAACAUAAAUAUUCCAAUAUUAUAUAAUAGUUGAUGUGAUUAGUGAAGUAGUUAAUUUUUUUCUCCUAGAUAGUCUAGAUCUGGAUAAUGAAGGUUUAUUUUUUCCACUUGUUGAAUAUAAAGUAUAAAAUACAUGUUAUUGUAAUUUUUAUAACUAUUUAUUUCUUUUGUGUGUGUGUGUGUGUGAGUGAGAGAGAGAGAGAGAGAGAGAGAGAGAGAGAGAGAGAGAGAGAGAACAUAUGGGUGUUCAUUCUCUCCUUUUGAUUGGGUCUUGGUGAUUGCACUCAGGGAGUAAGUCUGAGGUACCCAUUAAGUCAUCUCACAGGCUGUAGCUUUAUUUUUAAAGAGAAUUCAGACCAUUAAUCUACAUUUAAAAUUUUGGCUUUAUGCAAUAUUUAACAAUAGGAGAGAAAUUCUAAGUCUUUAUGAGACAAAGGGAAAAAAAUCACUAGCCCCACCCUAAACGUCUUACAUUUUCUUCCAGAUUCACUGUGUGAUUCAGUCUCCUUUGAUAUAUAUAUAUAUAUAUAUAUAUAUAUAUAUAUAUAUAUAUACAUAUACAUAUAUAUACAUAUAUACACAUAUAUACAUAUAUGCUCAAAAAAAGAAGCAACCGUUUUUACUGUUGUCACAAAUAUGAAACUUGGCUUCAGAAAGGAGCAAGGCAAAGCCGAAAGGGAGAACUUUUCAUGAUUUUAUAAAGAGGAUGAAGCCGCCGCAGUGGCUGUGUGUCUAUUAAAACAUGCUGGAGAUCAUUUACAGCCAUGCCGUGAUGCCAGGCCGCUAGGUCUUCUGCGUGAUUCAGAGUCUCCUCCGGGUGGCUUCCCCUGUGCUCUGGGGACCCACUUUAACCCCGGGUUCUCCCCGCAGCUUUGAUGUGAGUGCCUUGGUUCUUAUGAGGGUGUAUUUUGACAUUCUUCAUUUCCAACAGCUGUGAGCUGAACGCUUGCAGGCAAGGAGUCUGUCCCUCUGCGAGCCGUUAGGAUGCCUGCCAAAAGCUCAGUGUCCUCUCACCCGGCUGGAAAACCUUGUCUGGCCUUAUCUCUCACAGUCUCCUCUGUUACAGGAGAUGAGCCUGUUGAAUCUGGGCAGUGUGCUGAGACAUUGUCUUCUCGUGGAGUUUGAUUUGUCUUUAAAAAAACAGAUCAGCAUAUCCCAUCCACUUCCAUGUCUCUGUGAAGGCAAUGGGACCCACUGUGUUGGCAGCUGCCACAUGCCUCAAAUUAUGUCAGAGACAUUUGCUCCAUACCUUGGUUUUACUUAGGUGGUUUCUGAGAAUUGAUUUUUUUUUUUUUUAAAGCAACCUUAAGUGGAACGUAGAAUCAGGAAUUUAACUUACUCUGAAUUCCUGGAGCAUACACUCUACAUACACUCUGUUUUUCUUUCUGCCAUCUUCUUGACAGUACUUGCCACCUCCUGGGAACUCAGUAAGCUUCUGUGGCAUGAAUGAAUGAGUGAAUGGAUGGAUGGGUGGAUGGAUAGAUGGAUGAACAAAUGAAAUGAAGAAACCCAAGAGAAAAAGAAUGAUCUACUUGGACUGAGGAUAUAGAAGUGAUGAAAACUCCUUUCUUGCCUCCUUAUUGAUUAAGUGAUUGAAAGGUUUGUGGCUUUGCCCAGUGACCUAACUUAUGUGACCCUCCGCUUCCUUUUUUAUUCAUAGACUAAACACUCAGUGACCUCUAAAGUCUUCCUUAGCCCUCAUUUUCAUUAUGGUGUGUGACACUCACUUAACAAACGGCCCAGAACUGCACAGAAGAGACGAUUCCAAGUGGAAACUUCCAGAACUAGUUGAGGAGCAGAGAAGAAACGUAUAAUUUAUGUACGAUUGAUAGCAUUAGUUUAGAAGCCAGUCAAGUAGAGACAAUACAAGGCAUUUCCUGCUUUAUCUGUACUUAGUGUAUCUUACUGUGUGCUUUCUAAUCUGGGGGAGCUUGAGUCCAUAGUGUAGGCUGCAACACAAGAAUUUUGUUAAUGAAUACCAUCUUAGUUAGGUCCUAAUGCAGCACUCUACAGAUAAA